CUCGUAGGUGGCUGAGUAAGUCGGGUGUCAAAUCCCCAGGCUCAACCUGGGACACCACUCGAUACUGCUCUGGCUAGAGUCCGGUAGGGGAGCGUGGAAUUCCUGGUGUAGCGGUGAAAUGCGCAGAUAUCAGGAGGAACACCAGCGGCGAAGGCGGCGCUCUGGGCCGGUACUGACACUGAGGAGCGAAAGCGUGGGUAGCAAACA
rnacentral:rRNA from 1 species